UAAGAAUUGAAAAUUACCUCAAACAAAUGGCUUUUCCUUUUGUGAUUAAUCACCACAUAAACAGGUUCACUACCUUUACGGUGCUUUUUUCCGUUUUGGUGUUUGCUAUUUAAAACCGCUAUCCACUUUCAUUGUAUGUAAAUGCAAAAACAGCAGCUCAGACAUUUUGCAAAAUUUCUCCUUUUAUGCUCCACGGAAGGUUUGGACGCCACG